GUAUCAGGCACAAAAAUAUGCCCAAAACACCUAGCUACGCCACACCCUCAAGGGAGUUCAGCAGUGAUAAACAUUGAACAUAAACGACAGUUUGAUUCAGUUAAAGUAAAUAGAGCCGGCAAAUCUGGUGCCAGCCGCCGCGGUUACACCACGUGACUCAAAUUGAUAUUCCAUCGGCGUAAAGCGUGAUUAAAGCCACCCACAUAAUUCGGAUUAAGCCCACACUAAGCCGUGACACGCUUGUGUACAGAAAAAUCAUAAACGAAAGUUAUCCUAAUUUCUAACUUGAAUUCACGACAGCUAGGAAACAAACUGGGAUUAGAUACCCCACUAUGCCUAGCCGUAAACUUUUAAUUACCCCCCCCCCAUCGCCCGGGAACUACGAGCCAAGCUUAAAACCCAAAGGACUUGACGGUACCCCAUAUCCAUCUAGAGGAGCCUGUCCUAUAAUCGAUAACCCCCGCUUAACCCCACCAUUUUUAGUUAAUCAGCCUGUAUACCUCCGUCGUCAGCUUACCACGUGAGCGACAUAAAGUGAGCUUAAUGUCCACUCGCCAUUACGUCAGGUCAAGGUGCAGCAAAUAAAAUGGAAAGAGAUGUGCUACACUUUCUAACAUAGAAAACACGAAAGAUUACCUAUGAAACCUAGUCAGAAGGCGGAUUUAGUAGUAAAAAAAGAUCAGAAAACUCUUUUUAACUUGGCACUGGGGUGUGUACACACCGCCCGUCACCCUCUUCAAAGCU
rnacentral:rRNA from 1 species